rnacentral:rRNA from 1 species
UACGAGGGGGGCAAGUGUUGUUCGGAAUUACUGGGCGUAAAGCGCGCGCAGGCGGUCUUCCAAGUCAGUGGUGAAAGCCCGGAGCUCAACUCCGGAACUGCCAUUGAAACUGUUAGACUUGAGGACGAGAGAGGUGAGUGGAAUUCCCGGUGUAGAGGUGAAAUUCGUAGAUAUUGGGAAGAACACCGGUGGCGAAGGCGGCUCACUGGCUCGUUUCUGACGCUCAGGCGCGACAGCGUGGGGAUCAAACAGG